AAGGGCACCACCAGGAGUGGAGCCUGCGGCUUAAUUUGACUCAACACGGGAAUCUCACCAGGCCCGGACACCGGAAGGAUUGACAGAUUGAGAGCUCUUUCUUGAUUCGGUGGGUGGUGGUGCAUGGCCGUUCUUAGUUGGUGGAGCGAUUUGUCUGGUUAAUUCCGAUAACGAACGAGACUCUGGCCUACUAACUAGACGUUGGAUCCCUUUGUGGGUCCAUCGCAGCUUCUUAGAGGGACGGGCGGCGUUUAGCCGCACGAGAUUGAGCAAUAACAGGUCUGUGAUGCCCUUAGAUGUUCUGGGCUGCACGCGCGCUACACUGAAGGAAUCAGCGUGUGUUCCCUAUCCGAAAGGAUUGGGAAACCCGUUGAACCUCCUUCGUGAUGGGGAUUGGGGAUUGCAAUUAUUCCCCAUGAACGAGGAAUUCCCAGUAGGCGCGAGUCAUAAGCUUGCGUCGAUUACGUCCCUGCCCUUUGUACACACCGCCCGUCGCUACUACCGAUCGAGUGAUUUAGU
rnacentral:rRNA from 1 species